UUCACGAUAAAGUUUCGAUAGUAUCGGCCCAUCCCUUUUACUAGCUCCUAGUGGCAUAUUUACUUUCAACUUCGCAGACUGAAAGACAAGUCGUUGUAUUACACAGAAUUAAAUCGAUUUUUAUCUUCGUUCAAAAGCAAGGAACUCGACAAAUAAGGUACUCAAUAGCUAUCGGAAGUCGAUACUUUUUCUUGGUAUCGGAGUGAGUAUUGGUAUCGGAAGUAUGUAUUGGUAUCGGCCCAUCCCUUUUACGAGCUCCUAGUGGCAUAUUUACUUUCAACUUCGCAGACUGAAGGACGAGUCGUUGUAUUACACAGAAUUAAAUCGAUUUUUAUCUUCGUUCACAAGCAAGGAACUCGACAAAUGAGCGAGAACACUUGCACUGAGUGAAUGGCGCACUGUUGAAGGUUUUGAUCGACUUAGAAGAAGAAUGGCUUACCAAACGAAAUCCCCAAAUCAUCACAGAUUUCGUAGCUAUUGCGAAUAAGUCUACUGAAGGUUGGGGAUGCUUUUUACUCCGCUAGUCCACAGAAACUUGCACACGUCAUCAACUAGAGUGGGCUGAUCCUUAUCCAACCAACCAGCGCUGUUAGUUAGAAAUGUGGGUUGGCGUUAGAAGCUC